UACGGAGGAUCCAAGCGUUAUCCGGAUUUAUUGGGUUUAAAGGGUGCGUAGGCGGCCUAUUAAGUCAGGGGUGAAAGACGGUAGCUCAACUAUCGCAGUGCCUUUGAUACUGAUGGGCUUGAAUGCAGCUGAGGUAGGCGGAAUGUGACAAGUAGCGGUGAAAUGCAUAGAUAUGUCACAGAACACCGAUUGCGAAGGCAGCUUACUAAAGUGCGAUUGACGCUGAGGCACGAAAGCGUGGGGAUCAAACAGG
rnacentral:rRNA from 1 species